CUAUGCGCCUUGCCAGCCCGCUCAGGUGUGCCAGCAGCCGCGGUAAUACGUAGGGGGCAAGCGUUAUCCGGAUUUACUGGGUGUAAAGGGAGCGUAGACGGCCAGACAAGUCUGAAGUGAAAAUCCAGCGCUUAACGUUGGAAGUGCUUUGGAAACUGCCGGGCUGGAGUGCAGGAGGGGCAGGCGGAAUCCCUAGUGUAGCGGUGAAAUGCGUAGAUAUUAGGAGGAACACCAGUGGCGAAGGCGGCUUACUGGACUGUAACUGACGUUGAGGCUCGAAAGCGUGGGGAGCAAACAGG
rnacentral:rRNA from 1 species